rnacentral:rRNA from 1 species
UACGUAGGGGGCAAGCGUUUGUCCGGAAUCAUUGGGCGUAAAGCGCGUGUAGGCGGCUCGAUAAGUCCGGUGUGAAAGUCACAGGCUCAACCUGUGAAUGCCGCUGGAAACUGUCUGGCUAGAGUCCGGAAGGGGCGAGUGGAAUUCCUGGUGUAGCGGUGAAAUGCGCAGAUAUCAGGAGGAACACCAAUGGCGAAGGCAGCUCGCUGGAACGGUACUGACGCUGAGGCGCGAAAGCGUGGGGAGCGAACAGG